CCCCCCCGCUCUGUUUGUCCCUCAGGCUGGCGGCGGAGCUGUGCCGGCUGCAGCGCUAAGGGGAGCUGACACCGUGAGCAGUCACGCUGUUGUCGUCACGCUGUCGCUGUCACGCUGUUGUCACAGCGUUCUUGUCACAGUGCUGUUGUUACGGUGUUGUCACGGUGUUCCUAUCACAGUGUUGCUGCCGCGGUAUUACUGUCACCUUGUUACUGUCACCUUGUUGUCGUGUUGUCGCGGUGUUGUCGCAGUGUUGUCGCGGUGUUGCUCAAUGACAUGCUGUGCUGUCUCAGUGUCCCUUGGCUCUUCUGUGUCACAGCGCGGCGCCGCCUGGCCCCACGGCCCCAAGACCCCCAGCCCCACAGCUUCAUAACCCCACAGCUUCAUGGCCCCUAUUCCCCAGUGAUCUGCCCACGUCCUCAUGUCCCCAUAUCCCAGUGUCCCCAUGUCCCCGUGUCCCCAUGUCCUCAUAUCCCAAUGUCCCCAUGUCCCAAUGUCCCGAUGUCCCAAUGUCCCCACAUCCCCAUGUCCCCAUAUCCCAGUGUCCCCAUGUCCCCACAUCACAAUGUCCCAGUGCCCCCACAUCCCCAUGUCCCCAUAUCCCAAUGUCCCCACGUCCCCAUAUCCCCAUAUCCCAGUGUCCUCAUGUCCCCAUAUCCCAAUGUCCCCACAUCCUCAUGUCCCCGUGUCCCCUCGUCCCCCAACCCGGCCGCCCCCAACGGCCGCCGCCAUUUCCCCACACACACUGCGCAUGCGCCGCCGCCAUCUUGCCCUCCCCCCCCCACACCUCCACUUCCUCUCUCGGAAGCGGAAGCCGCUUCUUGCUCUCUCUUUCUCCCUCCCCCCCACUUCCGGCGUGCUCUUUCACCGGAAGCGGAAGUCCUCUCCAUCCUCGCUUCCGGCCGAGAGCGGAAGGGUCCGGGAGUGGGAAGCGGGCGGCGAUGGACAGCGAGUUCUCGGACGCGGAGGUGGGGGCGGGGGGGGAGGAGAACGCCCCGGUGUACUGCGUGUGCCGGAA
rnacentral:lncRNA from 1 species